AGAGUUUGAUUAUGGCUCAGGAUGAACGCUGGCGGCAGGCCUAAUACAUGCAAGUCGAACGGUAAACGCCCUUCGGGACGUUGAGAGUGGCGCACGGGUGCGUAACGCGUAUGCAACCCACCCGCUGUCGGGGGAUAGCCCGGAGAAAUUCGAAUUAAUACCCAUGAGGAGCAGAUGUGGCAUCACAAUUGUUUCAAAACUACGGUGACGGCGGACGGGCAUGCGUGCCAUUAGAUAGUUGGCGGGGUAACGGCCCACCAAGUCGACGAUGGCUAGGGGAUCUGAGAGGACGGUCCCCCACACUGGUACUGAGACACGGACCAGACUCCUACGGGAGGCAGCAGUAAGGGAUAUUGGUCAAUGGGGGGAACCCUGAACCAAGCCAUGCCGCGUGAGGGAGUAAGGCCCUACGGGUCGUAAACCUCUUUUGCCGGGGGAUAAGGAUACCUACGUGUAGGUAUUUGAAGGUACCCGGAGAAUAAGCAUCGGCUAACUCCGUGCCAGCCGCCGC
rnacentral:rRNA from 1 species